UCUAUUCCUCACUCACACCCACUCACCAUCUCUCUCUCUCUCUCUCUCUCUCUCUCUCUCUCUCUCUCUCUCUCUCUCUCUCUCUCUCUCCUUCCUUCCUUCCUUUCUCUGUCACAUACUGACCCUGUGGCUCAGGAUUUUACCUCUUAGUGCCUCGGGUACCUCUCUAAGCCAGGAAAGUGCAUCCCACAUGUUGAGCUGUCUCAGUAGGAGUUUCUGUGUUGAUGGAUCUCCAGGUGCCUCCUUCUAACGUUCUUUUUGGCUCAAAAGCCAAGAGCCUGAGAAAUCUCUGGUUUGGGGAUUUUAACCCUCCCUGCCUCUGGAGGGCCCAACUGGAGCCGCUCUCCUUUACUACUGUACCCCUGCCAAGGCUGACUGGCUUAGGGUGGGGGAGGCAAUUCCAGGCAAUUCCCCAGGAGCUCCCUCAGCAGUGCCAGCCCAGGCAGGACCCUGAGGAGUAAGGCUUUGCUUAGGGCUUGUUUACAGCAUUAACUGGUUAGUCCUGGGGCUCCCCAGGCUGCCAACCAAACAACAAAUUCGGGUCCAAAUAAGAAUAACUUUCAGGAAGACUCCUUCAGCCUCAGUUUGGGCUUUGGUAAAAUGUAGGGGUUGGAUUAGAUCCAAUGAUGAGAAGCGCAAAGGAUCAAACAGUCAUCUAGGCCAAUCCAUUAGUGACUUGCCCAAGAUCACACAAGCAGUAAAUAGCAGAGGUAGCACUAGAAUCCAGGUGCUAGGGGUCUAAAGCUAGCCUUUCCCCACUGCAACAGAGGAACUCUAAGUUCCCUCUAAGGCCUGAUAGGGUCUGUCCAAAAGGCUCUCCCAGUUCUAACAUUCUGUGUUCAAAAGGCCCCCUGGCUCUCAGGGUGAAUACGCCAAGGACUUUUCCAGCUCUGACAUUCCAUGUUCCAAGGUCCCUCUUAGCUCUAGGGUCUUUUCCAGAGCUAACAUUCCAUGUUCUAAGUCCUCCCAAACCUGACUUUGCAUGUUCUAAUGUUCUUUCCAGACUUGGCAUUCCAUGUUUUAAGGUCCCUUCCAGUUUUGGCAUUCCACGUUCCAAGGGCUCUCCCAGCUUUGGGAUUCCCUGCUCCAAGGGCUCUCCCAGCUUUGGCAUUCCCUGUGCCAAGGGUUCUCCCAGCUUUGGCAUUCCACGUUCCAAGGGCUCUCCCAGCUUUGGGAUUCCCUGCUCCAAGGGCUCUCCCAGCUUUGGCAUUCCCUGUGCCAAGGGUUCUCCCAGCUUUGGCAUUCUGCGCUCCAAGGGCUCUCCCAGCUUUGGCAUUCUGCGCUCCAAGGGCUCUCCCAGCCUUGGCAUUCCCUGUGCCAAGGGUUCUCCCAGCUUUGGCAUUCUGAGCUCCAAGGGCUCUCCCAGCUUUGGCUUUCCCUGCUCUAAGGGCUCUCCCAGCUUUGGCAUUCCCUGUUCCAAGGACUCUCCCAGCUUUGGCAUUCUGCGUUCCAAGGGCUCUCCCAGCUUUGGCAUUCUGCGUUCCAAGGGCUCUCCCAGCUUUGGCAUUCUGCGUUCCAAGGGCUCUCCCAGCUUUGGGAUUCCCUGUUCCAAGGACUCUCCCAGCUUUGGCAUUCUGCGUUCCAAGGGCUCUCCCAGCUUUGGCAUUCUGCGCUCCAAGGGCUCUCCCAGCUUUGGGAUUCCCUGCUCCAAGGGCUCUCCCAGCUUUGGCAUUCCCUGUGCCAAGGGUUCUCCCAGCUUUGGCAUUCUGAGCUCCAAGGGCUCUCCCAGCUUUGGCUUUCCCUGCUCUAAGGGCUCUCCCAGCUUUGGCAUUCCCUGUUCCAAGGACUCUCCCAGCUUUGGCAUUCUGCGUUCCAAGGGCUCUCCCAGCUUUGGCAUUCUGCGUUCCAAGGGCUCUCCCAGCUUUGGCAUUCUGCGUUCCAAGGGCUCUCCCAGCUUUGGCAUUCCCUGUUCCAAGGACUCUCCCAGCUUUGGCAUUCUGCGUUCCAAGGGCUCUCCCAGCUUUGGCAUUCUGCGUUCCAAGGGCUCUCCCAGCUUUCGGAUUCCCUGCUCCAAAGGCUCUCCCAGCUUUGGCUUUCCCUGCUCCAAGUGCUCCCCCAGCUUUGGCAUUCUGCGUUCUAAGGGCUCUCCCAGCUUUGGCUUUCCCUGCUCCAAGGGCUCUCCCAGCUUCAAGGGCUCUCCCAGCUUUGGCAUUCCCUGUUCCAAGGACUCUCCCAGCUUUGGCAUUCUGCGUUCUAAGGGCUCUCCCAGCUUUGGCUUUCCCUGCUCCAAGGGCUCUCCCAGCUUCAAGGGCUCUCCCAGCCUUGGCAUUCCCUGUUCCAAGGGCUCUCCCAGCUUUGGCAUUCUGCGUUCCAAGGGCUCUCCCAGCCUUGGCAUUCCCUGUGCCAAGGGUUCUCCCAGCUUUGGCUUUCCCUGCUCCAAGUGCUCUCCCAGCUUUGGCAUUCUGCGUUCUAAGGGCUCUCCCAGCUUUGGCUUUCCCUGCUCCAAGGGCUCUCCCAGCUUCAAGGGUUCUCCCAGCUUUGGCUUUCCCUGCUCCAAGGACUCUCCCAGCUUUGGCAUUCCCUGUUCCAAGGACUCUCCCAGCUUUGGCAUUCUGCGUUCCAAGGGCUGUCCCAGCUUUGGCUUUCCCUGCUCCAAGUGCUCUCCCAGGCCUGACAUUGCAUGUUCUAAGGUCCCUUCCAGCUUUGGCAUUCAUCAAAAGAACGUCCCAGCUCUUCUCUGACAUUCCACAUUCCAG
rnacentral:lncRNA from 1 species